rnacentral:rRNA from 1 species
AGGGCACCACCAGGAGUGGAGCCUGCGGCUUAAUUUGACUCAACACAGGGAACUUACCAGGUCCAGACAUAGUAAGGAUUGACAGAAUGAGAGCUCUUUCUUGAUUCUAUGGGUGGUGGUGCAUGGCCGUUCUUAGUUGGUGGAGCGAUUGGUCUGGUUAAUUCCAUUAACGAACGAGACCUCAGUCUGCUAACUAGCUAUGCGGAGGCAUCCUCCAUGGCCAGCUUCUUACAGGGACUAUGGCCUUUUAGGCCAAGUAAGUUUGAGGCA